rnacentral:misc_RNA from 1 species
AGCAGGAUCAUUCUUGGAAGAAUCUUCAACCAUUCUUUCGAAUUUUUUUUUAUGUAACGUGUGAGGAAUCCUCCUAAGACGGCAGCAGCUAGCUAACAACACCUGCUGACCAGAUCUCCUUCUCACUGGUCCUGUGUAUGAUGUGUGUGUGUACACACACACAUGUGCAGGCUGGUGGGCGGUUGGGUACCAUAGAGUGUGGGGGAUGCUGCUCUCCAACCGUUCGAAACAACGCUCAACGAUGGAUAUCUCGGCUUGGUGAUCGAUGAAGGACGCAGCAAAGUGCGACAAGUGUCAUGACUUGCAGAUACCCGAGAGCUGACAAAUUUCUGAAUGCAAAUUGCAGCCAAGUUAACCUGGCUAUGCGUUGCAGAGAGUACUUCGCUUAUGCGCAUCAUCCAGAGAUGUGUUCGUGCAACACCUCUGGGACAUGCGAUUGCGUGUGUGACAGUUAUUUUCUUCUUCUGGAAACAGAAGAAGGAACAUAUCUAUCUCUCUACAUAUAUAUAUUCUUACAUUUAACAGAUGUAAAAAAAUAUAUGUCCGCGAUCGUCAAAGGAAGAAAACCAACGAGUUUUCCUGGAUAAUCUGAGAGACGAGAGAAUAUAUGUAUAUAAUAUAUAUUCUUCUUUUUCUUUCUCAAACCUCACCUCUGCAAUGCAGGAGAACCCGCUGAACUUAAGCAUAUCAUUGAGCGGAGGACAAGAAAACAACUGUGAUUCCCUGAGUAACUGCGAGUGAAUAGGGAAAAGCCUAUGCUUGAAUCCGGUGUGGAUGGAAUCGGAAACACUGGAAUUGUAGUGCAAGGGUGUAGAGUGAGGCGAGCCAGUCGGAAGAAUCGCUCAGGAACGAGCAACCAAUGAGGGCUAUCGUCCCGUACCCUCCGACGCGGCCGUUUCACAUACUCUGCUCCCCAAGAGUCGGGCAGUUUGAGAAUGCUGUCCAAAACCGCAGGUGUACUCCUGCGAAGGCUAAAUAUUUCACCAAGACCGAUAGCGAACAAGUAGUGUGAACGAAAGAUGAAAAGUACUUUGAAAAGAGAGUGAAAAGUCCUUGACAUUGUUGGGCGCAAAGGGUAUGAGACCCAUUGUAUGCUUCUGCUUUUCAGCGAGAGCUGUCAACGCGGGUUUCCGGCUUCUGCAGGUUGUGAUCUGCUUCCUCGCUUCGGCGGGUAAGAGACAUAUAUUGCUGUUGCAGAAAGUUGGAGACUUGGCAGAGUCUAUUAGCCGACAGCGGCUGACUUUUGAUGGUGCUUGUGCGGUCGAAGCAUCUUCUUUCGUGGAGGGUCUUCACAAUACAAGCUUCGUCACCAGUUGUUGUCGAGCUGUGGAAUCGUUGACCAUUUAAUGGUCUCUUACCACCCGUCUUGAAACACGGACCAAGGAGUCUACCGAAUGUGCGAGUGUUAUGGUGAUUGAAACCAAACGACGCACAAUGAAAGUGAAGCCUGUGAACCGCGACGGAGAUGGUCGUUGGUGCAACAGGGCUCGGUCCUUAUCAGAAGAAAGGGAUCUGAAGUUGAGCACAUUCGCUGGGACCCGAAAGAUAGCGAGCUUUUCCUGGGCCGAAGGAAGCCAGGGGAAACCUUGGUGGACGUUCGAAUGCAGUGCUGACGUGCAAAUCGCUUGUCAGAUCUGGGUAAAGGGGCGAAAGACUCAUCGAGCUAUCUAGUAGCUGGUUCCCUC